UUUCACCUUUCCCCUUUUUUCGUCUGGCAGGUGUUCCUCUUCGAGUUCUUGUUCUUUCCUGCUAGCGUGUGCGUCCUUCGCAGCACCUUCCUCGACCUGCCCUCCUUCCUUCCUUUUUUCCUCUCUUGCUGUUCCCUCCUCUCCACGCUUUCCGUGAUUCGUUCUCACCUCUGUCGCACUCCCCUCCUCCUCAACAACCGAACAGUGACGUGUGUGGGGGGGGGAGGGGGGAGGAGGAUGAUCGUGUCGUUCUCAUUCGAUCUGGCAAGGCCGCUCGCCUCUGUCCCCCCGCUUUCACUUCUCCUUCGACUGAGAUUUUACGGUGGGUUUGGGCAAAAGGUCUCUUCGAUCUGCGGCGCAAGGAGCGCGCACAUCUCUUCAGCCUCCUCCCUCCACCUUUUUUCUUCCGCCCACCCACUCCCGUACACACACACACACGGGAGAGAGAACCUUGCUCGUUGCGCCUUCCUAUCUUGCGCAGGCGAUCGAGAAAGGGACGAAGGAGAGGGAGGAAGGGAGGGGAGGGGAGGGGGACAGGAUAAGUGAUACCCACUCACCUUCACACACGCACGCACACUUUUCGGGGGGGGCAAUACGUGCGCUGUCUGUCGGUAUGUGUCUAUGGAGGUCUGCGCGCGGGAGCGAGUUGGUGACGAGGGGAAGAGGGGAGGGGAGGAAGUAUACAGAGAGAAAGAGGAACUGCAGAUAUGUAUGCGGGGAACUCGGCGACACGCAGCUGACUUGGCAGCAGCAGCAGCAGCGAAUAAACAAGAAAACACGUACACGCAGAGCCGACAGUCAUCACGACUGUGAUUUCGGCACGACGCAGAGAGGAUGACGGCUGCCCACAGCGAAACAUACACCAUCGCUUUUCAUGCCAUCAUUAUAGACGACGUGUAUGCUGAUCGCGAGUCAAACGCAACGUGAUACACGCUAUCACUGCACACGGGGUGUGUGUGUGGAGGGAUGGCGGUUUGAGUAGCAAUACUCGAUAGCAGUCCCACUUUUUCGUGUGUGUAUGUAUCUGUAGAGGGCUCGUUUUGAUGCCUGCAUGAUGCUUGUAAUGCUAUCUUUUUUUUCCAUAUCGAUGUGCUCGUGGCCUCCUUG
rnacentral:misc_RNA from 1 species